AUGGGGGAGAUGAAAGGUCACUAGCCCAUGCCUACAGGGCAAGAGUGUGGAUUCUGCUCUGUGACAUUUCUGCCUUGUGGUUAGUCCUGGUUGCCUGACAGUCUUAACUUUUUCAUACCCUGAUUUUUCUUUCCACUUGUUUUAUGUGAGUAAAUGCCUGUCUUGUUUUAAGAUCUCCCUGAAAGCUAGACAAAGUAAGAACAGGGUCAUAUGGAGUUUAGAACAUGUAUGAGUAUGCUAUGUAUCAAGAGCACAGGUUGGAUCCUUAGUACUUCCAGCUUUCCUUAUUCUGUUCUGCAGAUGGGUAUUUUAAUGUGUGGUUGUCUUCCCUUUGCAGGGGGAUUCUGUGUUUUCAUUUGCGGCAUAUGAGUUCUUCAAACUUCUGCUUUAUAAGGUAUUUUCAGGAGAGCUGACACGUCAGUGACACUAUGAGGAGGAAGACGAAACUCGAAGCAUGCAAGAUUUCAAAGACACUGAUAUCAGCGGCUGGCUGUUCUGGCCAUACCAACUCUGAUGUUGUGCUUCAUGUCCCACGCUGCUCCUGCGGAUGUGGAUCUCCAGAGAGAUGACCUUUCACCUCCCCCAUCUCAGGCUGAAUGCCUUGUUGGAUCCCAGCAGAAGCAUCACUGACUGCCGAAUUUACUCAGAACAGUGUAUGAGAAGGCCGGAAGAUUUGCCUGAUUGGCAGAAAGAAUUCCAGGCAAAUCUUUCAGGUUGGAAAGAGGCGACAGCUCCUCUCCGAGGUAUUUCUAAAACAAAGCAGAGCCACCGUGCUGCUUGGGGGUUAAUAUCCCCCCUACUCUGCCCCCCAACUUGCUGCCAGAGAUCAGCUAAUCUGAUAAUUACGACAACAAACACAGUUUAGACAAACAAGACCUGACCCUGAGGGUUUGGAAUGAAAACAUUUACUCUCUCUCUCUCUCUCUCCAGAGAGACAGUGCCUGGAGCUCUCACACACGGAGGCACUGGGGAAAUUACCCUUGUGUUGGAGCGGGGUUAAAGCAUCUGUGUGAGGUGGGAGGGGCCAUGAUGGAGAGGUCCGGAGCACUUCGGGAGCAGAUGGAAAAUAUAUCAAUCUGGACACGGGAACACAUUGACUUUUUUUUUUUUCAACAGACAGAGCAAAAGGAAAGGUAGGAAAGAUGUAGGAUUGACCCGAAGGAUCUAGGAGUGAGUACCUGAUGGAGGAACACCGGCUUGCGUGUAGGGGACGUCUAGUCCGGCACACUUCUAGAGAACUUAAUACCUGCCCCUGGGGGGAGCCUUGCGUUUUCAUAGACGCUACCAGGUCAUCUUUUCUGAUCCCAUUUUGGCUACUGAGCAGAACAAUGUGCCCUUUCCCCUCCUUACUUGCUUCAAAUCGGCCUACCCCUUCCUCCUCCCCCCACACCUCUUUUACUUCUGAAAUACGGCUUCCUUGAUAAGUCCUUCCUUAAUAUAGGAAGUUCCAACUUUGGCUUCCUUCAGCCUAGAAUUCGUCAGGUCUUCUGUUCGUUGUCAGGUUUGCCCCAUGUGUCCAAGCUCAGCUUCAAACGUUCUCCUCUUCUUUUUUUGUGUUUUGUUUUGUUUUUGUUUUUUC